rnacentral:lncRNA from 1 species
CAUAAGUGAACUCAGACUCAACUCAACGAGCUCGGAUGCCUAGUUACAUCUCUCGAACUCGGACUCAACUCAACGAGUUCGGACAUUCGCAUCCAUAAGUGAACUCGGACUCAACUCAACGAGUUCGGAUGCCCAAAUAUCCUAGUGACAUGUCACUUGUAUCCUAAUCCAUUCCUAAGGUUCAACAGGACCUUUUUUCCAAUCAUGUGUCUCAACUAUCUCCUACGGAAUGCUGAUACCGAAACUCGGUAGUAUUUGACAUUUUCCAAGUAUAUCACAUAAUUUGACAUAUUAUCAAACAAUUAUCACGAGUAUAAUAUUUCAUAAUAAUUAUCAUAUCAUUUAAAUAAUAUAAAAAUAUUUAAAAUAAUAACUAUGUUACCAACAUUUACAUAUGAACUUACUUGGCUGAUUUGUAGAAGAUAUUGAAAUUUAGGGACUAUCCGUAACUUUUUCUUUUUCUCGUUCUUCUUUGGAUUCUUGAUCUAUAAUAUAAAGUAUUUCUACUCAUUAGCAUUUAUUUGACUUCUAUUUCACUUCACAAUUUAUGCUGUUCAAAUUUUGAAAUUGCACUUUUACCCCAAAAUUUACAGUUUUUACAAUUUAGUCCCUGCUCAUUUCACCCAUCAAUUGAACUAAUUUUUUUCUCAAUUAACAUUUUAUUUUAUCAUUAUAAAUUAUUUCAUAACCUUUGAUAUUCUGAAUUUCAACACUAACAUUUAAUUCACAAGUUUUUCACAAUUAGGUCCUAAAUACCAUUUUCUAUCAAAAUGACUUAAUAAAACAACCUUAAUAUGAAAUUAGAACUUCAAUUUCAUAAUAAUUCAUCAUAUACUACCCUUACUCAGCCAGGGUAACUUCCAAUUUCACCCACCAAAUCAAAAACUAAUGAAUUAGAUGAUUGGACCUAAUUGCAAAAGUCUUAAAAGUACAAAAAAUAUAAGAAAAGGGCAAGAAAUAAACUCACAUGCAGCGAAAUUGUGCAAAACCAGCUUAAAAGCUCUCUCCCAUGGCUGUCUGGUCGAAAUUAUGAGAAGAAUGGCUUAGAAAUCUCUUUCAAUUUCAAUUUAUUUGUUUAAUUUUGUAAAAUUUACCAUUUUACCCUUAGUUCACCUGAUUCCAGAUUUUUUUCUUGCUUAUGCCGCCUCAUCCAUUCCCUUUAGGCUAAUUUGCCUUUUAAGUCAUCCCUCAUUUAACACUUGAGCCAUUUAAUCAUUUUAUCAAGUUUUGUACCAUUUUCAAUUUUGUCAUUUUUAAUUAAUUAACUAUCCAAACGUUAAAAUUUUCUAACAAAAACUUAAUACUAACUUAUUUACACUCCAUAAAUAUUUUUAAAAAUAUUUAUGGCUCGAUUUAUGAAUUCGAGGUCUCGAUACCUCAUUUUUAUUCUGUUUUAUCUACAACUUCCUAUACUACAUAAUUUCAUUUAAUUCAAAAUUAUUUAUAAAACCACACUUAACAUUUACUUACUAAUAUCUAAACUCACAUGUCAGAUUUAGUGAUUUCAAAUCACUGUUCCGAUAUCACUGAAAUUUGGGCCGUUACAACUCUCCCCCUCUUUAGGGAUUUUCGUCCCCGAAAAUCUUACCGGAAAAGUGGUCUUCACUUAGAUUCCUCAAUUUCAUAUUUGGUGCUGAAGAACUUUCACUCAGGCAAUGCCUCCAAUAUAUCUCUUUAAUUUCUCAUAUAUUCUGAAAGCUUACGGACUCAUCUCUUAAUUGUUCUUAAAUUUUCAACCCUUCUCAGUUUCCCAUGAUAUCAUGACAUAAAACCCGUAUCUCAACUUGAUUUAAUGGAGACCAGAAUUCCAAGAAAUCCAACAAUCAAAGAGAUCUGAAAUUCCAUGAAUCUGAUGAGUAGGAAUUCAUUCAAUACCGAUAUGAUUUAUAGAUCUCGCCAAACCUUCAAGAAUAGGAUACAUCACAUUUUCCUCUUUCCGCCAUAGAAAUAAUUCUGAUAUGGCCUCAAAAAUAAUCAUUCUCAUUUCCAUCCCAAUAUCAACAUUGGCAAGGAUAAUUUUGAUAGAUCCCAAUGCUCGGCUUUAACCCCUUUAACAACUCAGAUUUUAUGUAACAUCGAAUGCUCUAAACUAUCAAAUUACCUUACUGUCUUGAAACACAUCACAAUUCAUACAACAGUACAUUACUGAAAGUCAGGAAGUCUUUGCUCAAUGUAGACUAGUUUAGUUCAGACGCUUCGGUUACCAAUAUUCUCAUCUAUCCGAACUCUGUCAACGUGUAAUAAACUUUUCAGCUUUCACAAGACGAAAACCUUAUCAUUGUAGUGACUUUAACUAAUAUCCAACUCUUUCUAAUAAAUAUACACUUCUCGUUCAGACUAUUUACUCUUUUAUCAGUACAAAAAUGAAAUUCUAUUAUCAAACUCGAGAAAAAUAAUUCUGACAUAAUUGUCACAUGAAAUCUUUCAAAUAAAUAAUUCACCAUACCGACUGAAACUCACGCUUUUAUCACCUAUGCCUUUACUGAUGGCAAAUCCUUACACAGAAAUUAAAAAAAAUCCCAAUACUAAAAUCACCACAUUACCAAGACCAAAUUAGAAGUAUAGUCAUAUUUGACAUGAUUAUCACGAGCUGAAGAACGUACUUCGAACAUGAGUCAUAAUUGACAAAUUAUGGAACAAAGAUAACAAGAAAACCGAAUAAAGAAAUCCAAGAUAGAGAAACCCAGAAUAAAGAAAUCUAGAAUAAAGAGAUCCAGGAUAAAGAAACCCAAGAUACGAUACCAUGCCGGAGAAUCGAAAACCAAACUCAUAAAGAAAAUACAGAAUACCCCGAUAAUUCUUCAAAGAAAGAAAGUCCAAAAGAAAACAUCAUUUAAUCUCACUGGAAUCAAGUAUAACAAGAACAAUAUAUCUUCCCAUACAUAUAUAUCACAUGAAGCAUCAAGUAGAAGAAACAGAAUCAUAAUAUCAUACGUAUUCUCUCAUCAAUUCUUAUCAGUCAAAAUGAAAUAGAAUACCCGAUGAAAUAGAGCAAUAUAAAUUAUAACCCAGUCAGACUACCGAUGCUUUCAUCCAACACUAGGAUUAAAAAACAUUCCCAUAUAACAAGAAUUUCUUCAGAAGAUCAAUAGCCAUAGAAAUAUUUCUGAGAACGGGUAAACACAUAGAACAUCUCAAAAGAGACUGCUAAAUCUGUCCAGUCAUAACUAUCACACUCAGAUAGUUCACAUUUCAAAUAUCAUUUCCCUAACUAGUUCUGCCGUCACAAAUUUCAUAUUAAACCAUUUACUAAAGAAGGCCAGUUCUGAAUAAAUUUCGAUUUACACUUUUCUCGACCUUGUACCUGAGUAAUUUGAUUUACCAAAGAGAAUUCCUUCUCUAACUGGGACAGUGCAUAUUUCCAAUAAUCUUUAUAUCAAUCCGAUACUUUACUGGCUCUGACUUUACUUAUCAGCUCAUUUUCAAUCUUUGAUCAUACUUAUAAUUAUUCUAUCACUGAACUCUUUGGGUUCUCAACCGGAAACUUAUUCAAUACAAAUCUCAUGAAAUUCCAUUAUAAGUACCACUUCGGUAAGGGGGAGGGGUUGUAGGACCUCCGACUCGACUUUCUUAUACAUACACAUAUGACACAACUUCCAUCAUCAUAGCAACAUCAUCAAAAUCAUGUCAUUCAUUCAAGCAAUGCAACAUUCAUGUUGGCUUACACAAAUUUUCCUAUUGUCCCAUUUAGACAAUAGACUUAUGCAUACAUUCUAUGUUUUCUAGAUAGCUUUACUUAUCCAUUUAUUUAAUUAAAUUAAUUCAUGCUCAUGACAUCAUAUAAGGCCAAACAAACAUAGAUAUUUGCAUCACAAUCACAACUUUCAUUUCGUGCAUCAUCAUGUACAUAUCAUUACAAUCAUAUAAUUCAGUCCAACAAUUUAACAUAGAUAAGUUCAUUUCAUUAUAAUCCUUUAUCUCAUAAAAAUUAUAUAUCAUUAACAUUCAACGUCUAAUCGAGACAAUGACAUUUUAAUUCGUAUCAUGAUAUUAUGACCUUUAUUCAUACCUCUAUUACUUUCUAUUUAUUCCGUUCAUCUUAUCAAGUAAGCCACAUACACUACAUCAUAUGAGCAUUAAGCAAAUAUGGAUAUUUAUCACAAUAUGAACUUUCAUCUCACAUAUUAUCACAUAUGUAUCAUAAAUUUUUAUUCAUACUUUUCUGAACCGAGACUUAUCAUAAUCAUAACUUUACUCAAAUACCUUCACAUAACAUUGAACAUGGUCAGCGCAGCUCGGUUGGAGAGUACAAAGUACCCUGUCUAAAUAAAACGGUACUUAUACGCGUCGGAAGACAUCACACUAUCACAGAUCAGUGGCAUGUAUAGCUAAACUUUUACACAUGCUAAGUUAGUCCGAGAACCGACUAAACCUGCUCUGCUACCACUAAAUGUAAUGCCCCCUUACCCGAGACCGUCGCCGGAGUCGAGCACGAGGCAUUACUAACUUAUUUGAGCACUUAAACAAAUUCGGACAAGCUGUCCAACUGCGUCACAAUUGCUUAAAAAUUUAUAUCUCGAGUUUUGAAACUCAAAAUCCAAUUCUGUAAAUUUUUUCUUAAACUAGACUCAUAUAUAUAUUUACUAAUUUUUUUCUAGAAUUUUUGGUCAGGCCAAUUAGUACAAUUUAUUAGUUAAAGUAUCCCCUGUUUCAGGGUUUGACUGCUCUGACCUCUGUGUAUUAUGAAUUAGAUAUCUCCCUGUACAGAGUUUCAAUGAAUAUAUCGUUUGUUUCUAAUAAAAUUAGACUCAAUAAGGAAUCUGUACAUAUAAAUCAUGACUUCUAAUUAUCUUUGUACAAUUUAUGGUGAAUUUCCAAAGUCAGAACAGGGGAUCCAGAAAUCGCUCUGGCCCUGUUUCACAAAAAUUUAAACAUCUCAUAAAAUAUAAUUCAUAUACCUGUUUUGUUCCAUUCAUAUGAAAAUAGACUCAUAAUUCUUUAAUUCCAUAUUUUACUCAUCAUCUAAUUAUAUCUCUACUAUUUUUAAUGAUUUUUCAAACUCACGUCACUGCUACUGUCUUAAUCUAUUUUAUGGUAAAUUUUACCUAUUUCAUGAUUUCCAUGGAAUAACUAGCAUUUAGGCAUACAUAACACAAAAUAUGUCCUUGAUUAGCCAUUCCAACAGCUAAUCAUUAUCAAACAUUUCCAUACCACUCAAUAACCAUAUCAUAAGACUAUAUACACAAAAUGAUUAUAAUGCUAUACAUGCCAUGCUCAAAAUAUACAAACCGUUAUACCAAGAUGAUACACGGAUAGUGUGAGCGAGCCUCCGACCGUUCCUGAUUUCCGAGCUGGCUUGUCAAAACUACAAUGAAUGAAAAGGAGGGAGUAAGCAUAAAUGCUUAGUAAGUUCACAUGCAAAUAGCAAGUAACACAACUAUAUAAGCAAACAUAAAACAUCAUUUUCAUAAUCAUCAUCGAGACAUUCAUAUCACAUUUUCAUUUACAAUCUUACCAUAUUGUUGUUAUGUCGAGUUUUCAACUCGAGGGUUAAGUACAAACCUGUUCAAAGUAUUCAUUUCAUGACACUUACCAAUACGUCCCUUUCAUCUCUAGUAUUCCUCCAUUUGAGUAGAAUUUUACCCGUUGAACACAUCGGAAUAUAAUUCGGAUUCAUGGAAAGUUUGCACAUAAGUGCCACAUAUGUAGCCAAGCUACCAUGUAACCCGCCCAUAAGCGAACUCAGACUCAACUCAACGAGCUCGGGCGUUCGCAUCCAUAAGUGAACUCGGACUCAACUCAACGAGCUCGGAUGCCUAGUUACAUCUCUUGAGCUCGGACUCAACUCAACGAGUUCAGAUAUUCGCAUCCAUAAGUGAACUCGGACUCAACUCAACGAGUUCGGAUGCCCAAAUAUCCUAGUGACAUGUAACUUGUAUCCUAAUCCAUUCCUAAGGUUCAACGGGACCUUUUUCCCAAUCAUGUGUCUCAACUAUCUCCUACGGAAUGCUGAUACCUAUACUCGGUAGUAUUUCACAUUUUCCAAGUAUAUCACAUAAUUUGACAUAUUAUCAAACAAUUAUCAUGAGUAUAAUGUUUCAUAAUAAUUAUCAUAUCAUUUAAAUAACAUAAAAAUAUUUAAAAUAAUAACUAUGUUACCAACAUUUACAUAUGAACUUACCUGGCUGAUUUGUAGAAGAUAUUGAAAUUUAGGGACUAUUCCGCAACUUUUUCUUUUUCUCGUUCUUCUUUGGAUUCUUGAUCUAUAAUAUAAAGUAUUUCUAAUCAUUAGCAUUUAUUUUACUUCUAUUUCACUUCAUAAUUUAUGCUGUUCAAAUUUCGAAAUUACACUUUUACCCCAAAAUUUACAGUUUUUACAAUUUAGUUCCUGCUCAUUUCACCCAUCAAUUGAACUAUUUUUUUUCUCAAUUAACAUUUUAUUUUAUCAUUAUAAAUUAUUUCAUAACCUUUGAUAUUCUGAAUUUCAACACUAACAUUUAAUUCACAAGUUUUUCACAAUUAGGUCCUAAAUACCAUUUUCUAUCAAAAUGACUUAAUAAAACAACCUUAAUAUGAAAUUAGAACUUCAAUUUCAUAAUAAUUCAUCAUAUACUACCCUUACUCAGCCAGGGUAACUUCCAAUUUCACCCACCAAAUAAAAAACUAAUGAAUUAGAUGAUUGGACCUAAUUGCAAAAGUCUUAAAAAUACAAAAAAUAUAAGAAAAGGGCAAGAAAUAAACUCACAUGCAGUGAAAUUGUGCAAAACCAGCUUAAAAGCUCUCUCCCAUGGCUGUCUGGCUGAAAUUAUGAGAAGAAUGGCCUAGAAAUCUCUUUCAAUUUCAAUUUAUUUGUUUAAUUUUGUAAAAUUUACCAUUUUACCCUUAGUUCACCUGAUUCCAGAUUUUUUUCUUGCUUAUGCCGCCUCAUCCAUUCCCUUUAGGCUAAUUUGCCUUUUAAGUCAUCCCUCAUUUAACACUUGAGCCAUUUAAUCAUUUUAUCAAGUUUUGUACCAUUUUCAAUUUUGUCAUUUUUAAUUAAUUAACUAUCCAAACGUUAAAAUUUUCUAACAAAAACUUAAUACUAACUUAUUUACACUCCAUAAAUAUUUUUAAAAAUAUUUAUGGCUCGAUUUAUGAAUUCGAGGUCUCGAUACCUCGUUUUUAUUCUGUUUUAUCUAUAACUUCCUAUACUACAUAAUUUCAUUUAAUUCAAAAUUAUUUCUAAAACCACACUUAACAUUUACUUACUAAUAUCUAAACUCACAUGUCAGAUUUAGUGAUUUCAAAUCACUGUUCUGAUAUCACUGAAAUUUGGGCCGUUACAAUUUAUUUUUCGAUAUUAACCAUAACGUCCAUAGGAUAGACCUUCGAGGCCCAAAAUGAAUGUUAGUAUCAGGUCGGGAUUAAACCAAGAAUAUAGGAAAAUUUUCGUGAAAAUUUAAAAUUUUACUCACGUACAGAGGUCACACGCACAUGUGGGUAGGCUGCGGUUCACACGGUCGUGUCCCCAACCCUUGUAACUCUCUAACUUGCAAAACGUUAAGGUGCAGUUUUUACACGUCCAAGACACACGCCUGUGUCUCUGCCCGUGUGCUCAAUCCUGAACAUUCUGUUUCUCAAAUUUUAGGUGCAGGGGACACAUAGCUAAACCAUAUGCCCAUGUACCAGGCCGUGUGCCACACACGGUCAAGGCACACGCCCCUGUGUCUACCCGUAUGGAAGAAAAUAGACCACUUCAAGGUCACUUUUAUCACCUUUUUCAAAAUUUACCUGCAUAUAACAUUUGUAUACACUAAUAUAUUCCAACCAAACAACCAAUUUAGGUCAAAUAUCAAGUUUUAAACAUAUUAUGUCAACACACUACUCAUUUGUAUAAAUUUAAUUUGUAAUUUCCAUUCACUAACUACUAAUAGAUAUUAUUAAAUAUAUGCACAUAGACUAACAUAUAUGUAUAUAAGCUUUUCAUAACCAUAUUACAAGAUUACUUUAUUUUCAUUCCAUCUUAUACAUGCCGUAUAAACCAUAAGAUAUUUUGUAAAAUCUACCGAAAAAAAUCUGGAUAGUGUGAACCGAUGUGUUGAUCCGAUCCUACGAACUCUUGUUAAACUACACAAAACAUUAAACACAGAUGAGUAAGCUUAUGAAAGCUUAGUAAGUUCAUAGGCUUUAAAAUAAAUCUUAUCGAAUAGAUAUUAACAAAAUAUUAAAUAGAUCUUUUCAUUAAUAUUCCUUGUCAAUCACAAUCUCAAACAUUGAAUUUAUUUGAUUGAACUGAAUAUCACAACUGAUUAAAUUAUUUCGCUUUCAUUCAUAUAACACUUACCAACACUUGUCAAAUUAUAGAAUGUCUUAUGAAUUUGAGUACAUCAUUUGUUCAAUGCCAUAGUCCAACUAUGGUCUUUCACUAAUAUUAUUAUGGCUCUGUCAUAUUCUUUCACUCAUGAUGCCUUAACUCGAUUAUGGUCUUAUACAUUUACACUUACUGCCAUGGUUCAACCAUGGUCUUACAUACACUGUGCCAUAAUUCAAUUAUGGACUUUUCACUGAAAUGUCAUAACCCAGCUAUGGUCUUACAUUCCACACUUUGCCACGGUUAUAACAUGAUUUUACCCGUCAAUUCAUCACUUGUCACUUCACUUAUCACUAAACGAUUGUACUCAAUCCAGCGUUCUACUCAAUUUGAACAUUCAAUUCACUUUUCAUAUUCUUCCAACAGUCAUAAUUCAAUGACAACAUAUAAAAUAAUACAUUAUAUCAUUUCUACAUUAACAAAUAAUCAUAAAGUUCAACCUUAUGAACUUACCUGGGCCAAUUUCUAGAAGUUGUAGGAAAUCAGGGACUAAUCAGAAAUUUUCUCUUUUCCAUGUUUAUCUUAUGAUUCUUGAUCUAUAAUGUAAAAUUUUCCAUUCAUUAGCAUCUAAAUUAAUUCUAAUUCACUUCACAAUUUAUGCCCUUUAAUUUUUGAAAUUACACUUUUACCCCAAAUUUUAUAAUUUUUAUAAUUUAGUUUCUAAUCAAUUAACACAUCAAUUGAGUUAAUUUUUCUCAAUUAACACUUUAUUCUAUCAUUCUAAACUACUAAAUACCCUUUAUUAUUUAUAAUUUCAACAUCAAACCCUAAUUCUAAACUUUUUCACAAUUAGGUCCUCAAAAUAAAUUUAUAUUAAAAUCACUUAAUAAAAGCUUUAAAUCCAUGAUAAUUUAUCAUAAAAAUACAUUACUCAUCCAUGGAAACUUUCAAUAUCACCCAUAGAAUCAAAAACUAAUGAAUUCAAUAGGUGGACCUAAUUGUAAAAGUUACAAAAACAUAAAAAUUACCAAGAAAAAGUAAGAAUUGAACUCACGUGGUGCAAAAAUAUUAAAAACCAGCUUAGGAGGUCUGCUAUGGCAUUUUUAGCUGAAUAAAAAUGAUCAAAUCUCUAGAUUUUUCAAUUAAAUCCUUUUGAACUAAUAAAUUUUAGGUUAUUUCCAAUUUUGCCCCUUGUUCACAUUGUUUUCUUACUUAUUUCAUGCCCCAAACUGUCCAUCCCAUUUAAUUUGGGUCUAAUUACGUUUUAAAUCCUUCUUUAUUAGACAUUUAAGCUAUUUACUCACUUUAACAAGUUUUGAACCUUUUACAAUUUAGUCCUUUUUAAUUUAUCAAAACGUUAAAAUUUUCUAACGAAACUUUAAUACUAACUUAAUAACACUUCAUAAAUAUUUCUAAAAAUAUUUAUGGGUCGGUUUAUGAAUUCGAGGACUUGAUACCUCGUUUUCGACCCAUUUGACCUAAUAAAUUCUUUUAUUUCACAAAAUUCACUAAUUCAAGACUAUUUCUAAUGUCACACUUGACUCAUAAAUAUUAAUUUACUAAAUUUUCAAACUUACUUGUCGGAUUUAGUGAUCUCGAAUCACUGUUUCUAACACCACUGAAAAUUAGGCUGUUACAUGCUACCUUCAAGCUCUUCUAACUAGGGUUUCCUUGUAAUAUAAUUUAGGACAGAUGAUAUUAUGUUUUCAUUAUUUAAUUACUUAUCAUCUUUUAUUAUUUUUACUUUCCAAUUUAGUCCUUUUCUUUAUUUAAUUUUCCAUGGAUGAAUCAUCAUACUUAUCUACUAACUCCUCAAAUUUUGAAUUCCAUAGCUAUUUGAUACUUAUAGCUACUAGAACUCAAAUUUUGCAUUUCAUGCAAUUUGACCAUUUUCAAUUAAACAUGUAAUCGGUAAAAUUUUCUUAACAAAAUUUUUAUACGAUAUUCCUAUCAUACGGUAAACCAUAAAAAAUUUUAAAAUAAUUUUUCUUACGGACUUGGAUUUGUGGUUCUGAAACCACUGUUCUGAAACCACUGAAAACGGACUGUUACAGUGUGGGCCACAUGGGUGUGUGGCCCAUUUUCUGGAAUUUUCAUUUAAGGCCGUAUUAAUCUGUAAUACGUAAUUAAACCCUCCGUGGGUCAUUUUUCUUAAAAAGACUUGAAAUGAGUUAUAUGUGUGAAUACGUUCGAUAUGUGAGUUACAUGUAUAAUAUAUGUGCCAAUAAUUUUUGAAAGCAUGACUAUUUUUUGUAAAGCAUGUGUGACAUUCGUAUUUUGUUAUCUAUUCUAAUAUGAUAUAUGAUUCGAUUAUGUGAUAUGUAUGUAUGUAUGUUAUUGUGAUUUUGCAUGAGUAUUGGGUGGGUUUUGAUGAUGGAAGAAGUGUUUUCAUGCAAUAUUUUUGCAAUUUUGGCGGUUAAACCAUAAUUUAUGUUUGGCAGCUCAACUGCACCAUUAUGAGUAACAUACCACCACGACCCGAUGUGAUUGGAUGGAUGGACUCAUGUAGUCUUAUUGGUGUGAUUGGUUGGACGGAGUUGUUGUGUAGUGGAUGGGGGUAAGAUUUGUUCUAAUAUGAUAUGUCGUUUUGAUAUGAUAUAUGUUCUGGAAAUAUGAAAAUCUGAUUUGACACAUGUUUCUGGUAUCGUGUCAUUCUAAUCUGAUAUUCGUGUUUGUGAACAUUAUAAGUAAAAUUCUAUGUUGGUAUUUACAUUUGUGUAUGUUAUAAGGAAAUUCUAUUUUGUGGGUCGAGUCACAUACUGGACUUCUAGCUCACUCGUUUGUUAUUAUAUUUUAGGUGAACUAUAGGCUUAGGACCGGACGACAUACAAGAGCUCGAAUUGUUUACCGGUUAAAUAUAUAAGUUGGUUUAUGUCUUAAUUAUUUUUGAAUGUAAAUUUGUUUUGGGCUUUGCUCUUUGGUUUUUGCACUGUUGUUGGGUUAAACUUCAAAAUCAUAUGAUUUAUUAAACUAAGAAUUUGGUUGUCAAAAUUGAAACUCUGGAAAUUUCCAUUGCAAAGAUUAAGUAAUCACUUAAGUGUUUUUCUGUAAAUAAUUAAAUGGUGUUUAACGAAUGUUUGCCUUAGUUUUGGAAAUGAUUUGCCAACAUUAGAAUUUUUAAAACACAAGAUUUAAAAUUCAAACUCUAGGUUUGAGAUAAGUGAUUUCGGGCUUAAGUUUUAUUAAACAUUUGUGAGAGUUUUUUCAAAUUUUAUGUUUUAGACAUGCACACUAAAUUUGAUUAAAUCAGAAAUUUUUUUAAUUUUCUAAGACUGAUUAUAACGUUUAAGUCAGAUUUGAGAUGUUACAACUUGAUUGUCCAAAAUAUUCUAAUGAAGUGAAACAAUAGAAAAUGGGCUCUUCGUAAAACUGGGAUUAACCUGCUAACAACAGUUAAAUGUUUGACUAUAAUACCCAUCAACAAAAGGGGUCCCAAGUCCCAACUUCAGCUCCCCACGAGGGUGCUACGAGGAUAGCCAAGCUUUGGUUUCGUUGUUAGCGGAAAAAUAAUGUAAAAAGAAAAAGGAAAAAAGAAGACAACAAAGGUGUUGUAAUAACAUGGUAUCUCGCCUGCAUGGAGGGACAAAAAAUUGAUUGUACUUUGGGCAGGCAGUAUUAGGAAAAGGAUUUGUGAUUAGAGACGGAGUGGAGGAUGUGAUUGAAAUGCCAGGUGAUGAAGAACUCAAACUUACUUUUACACAUGUUCCCAAUUAUUGCAACUACUUUACCUACCCUUUUCCAUCUCCGGAUCUAUUCUUUGCUUUUUAAUUUACCCACUUCUAAUUCCUCAUUUGCCAAUAAAUCUGUUGGAAUCAUGGCUUCAAUCUUCCUUCAAAAAAUCUACCAUAUUUUUCACCCUUACCUUUAACCUUACUUUCUUCAAUUUAAUCUCAUAUUGCUCUUUUCUAUCACCACCUUUUCAUUUUAUCUCAUCAUCAUAUUCGGAUUAAAAAUAGUAAAAUAUAUAUAUAUAUAUAUAUAUAUAUAUAUAUAAUAGAGGAAAGCUAACAAAUGUGAUUUUGUUUGAAUAGUUAAAAUUAGUAAAGACAAACAAUAAUUUUAGCCAUUUUUGUUUACAUAAACAGUGCAAAAGAAUGAAAAUAAUUAAUUAUAAUAUAUUAUUACAAUUAUAAUGCUUUCAUAAAACUGAUUCUAAAAGAAAAAAAAUGAUAAACAAAGAUAGGUUAAAUUCUACUAUUGCUCAUUUUACUUUAAUUUGAUCAUAUUUAGUCUCUGCCCUUUUCGUAUUUUAAAAUUUCAAUCAUCACCGUUGUUUUCAGAACCGGGUCGGUCAGUUGGAUCAGGAGCCAAUCGAGACAUUGGUCUAGAAUAAGGGUCGAAUUGGGUUUCUCUAUUUUUAUUUUUGUAAUAAUUUAUUUAAUUGAACUGACUGAACUGAGAAUUGGUGGUUUGAUUGAGUUGACCACCGAUCUGAUUAUGAAAACCUUGGUCCUCAACAAAUAAUAAUUGUUAAAUUCAUUAAGAUCUACUAUUUCCAAAAUACGAUGUGGAAAACAAAUUAUCAAAUGUGUAAUGUCAUGUUGGCUUGUUAUUUCUACAUAUUAAUCUAUAAAAAUCCAGUUAAUAGAUUAACAAUUGUCAUUUGUGCUGAGAUCAAAAUUUUAAAAUUUGAAAAAAAUAUAGAGACUUAGAAUGAUCCAGUUGGAGAAUAUGGACUAAAUCUACAACUGUACGAAUAAUACAUGACUAGUAAUUGAAUUUAACCAAAUGGAUUUAAUCAUUAUUGUUUGAGUCGGGACUAAAAUUUUUAAAAUUCAAAAAAGUGUAAUGACUAAAAUUAAUCAAAUUAAAGUAAAACGACUAAAUUCAAAACUUUUAUAACAUACAUGGACUAAUAGUAGAAGUUAACCCAAAAAAUUUUCUUUAACUCUUAAAAUUUGGGUUAACUUUUCCCCGUAAAUAAAAAAUUUUGCUUUCAACAUAAAUCAAGGGAUACUUAAUUUCCCUUCAGUUGAAACUUGAAAUAGUUUAGUGUAAAUUGAUUUUGUUGAUGUGAUAUGAUUUGUUGUAUGACUCAGUUAGUUAUUUACUAUAAUAACAUAUUCAAAAUAUUGACGAAAUAUAUUUGAAAAUUAGUUAUAGAGGAUAGCCUUGUUAGUGGCAUGGCAUGUUAUAAGGAUCGAAAAUCAGAUAUGAAAUUGAUUAAGGUGGUUAAAAGACUAAUUAAUUAUGAUGUUGGGAUGUUAUGGGUGAUUAAGUAAGAGAAUAAAGGCCAGCUGGUAGCUUAAGCCUUGUUAAGCAAUGUGAUUAAAAUGUUAUAUAUUUUAUUUGUUUUCUAACGUCAACUGUUGAAGAAAUGGAUAGUACAUGUUUUACAUUUGGAGAAUUGUUUCAAGAUUUGAAACACGCCAUCUUGUUUCUAAACUAUUUAUCCUUACCAAAUAAAUGUGAGAAACAAACCCAAGCUCUUCUUUUGUAGCCAAGUUAUUUAGCUAAUAAGAUUUUGAGCUCAUCAGCCAUCCAAAUUUAUGCAUGAUUUUGACUUGUUAUAUGGCCUUGUGAUUGGACGAAAUUGAUUAUGGUGAAAAAUAAAGCAUAGCAGCACCCAACCCAAUUAAGCUGGCUUUCUAGUUUUUGGGGUCAUUUUAAUCUGGUAAUUAACAAACUUAGCACUUUGCACAUGGGUCACGUGAAAUUCCAUCCACCAGACACGUGCCUCCCUCACUCUGAUUUCUGCCCAAAACCCCAAACAAAACAAACCUGAUCUAAACUUAAAAAGUUGUUUUCUAAUCAAAGAAUCUUUGGGGCUCACAUCAUGCAUCUGCUCCCUUCCCCACAAACAUCUCUACACUUCUCCUUUUAAUCAAAUCAAAUGAUUCUUUUUAUAUUUACAUAAACAUCUUUGUUUCCGAGCACUACCCACCCUGGCAACUUGGUGGGUUCAUCAUCAUAUCUCUCAACCUAUUAUUAACCUAAUCAAAUUAUUUGAAAUAUAAAAAUCUUUAAUCUUGAUCAAAUUCAAAAAAAAAUUUUAACACAUUAAUCAAAUUAAAUUUAUAUGUUUUUGUCUUUUAACUAAAAUAAAUACAAAACAUAUAAAAAAAUACAUUGUUAAUGUUUUUUUUAAUAGUUCAAAAAAAUAUAUUAUAUAUUAUUUAUUUCAAUUAAUAUAAUAAAUAAUAGUUCAAAAAAUACAUUAAUAAUAUAAUAUAUAUUAUUUAUUUUGGUUAAUUAUCUAAUUUCGAAUUAAAUUAACCAAUAAUCGAAAUUUUAAAAAAUUAUUAACCAACCUUUAACCGAUUAAUCAAAUUAAACUGAUUUAGUUGGUUAAUUUAAUUUUAGCUAAACUAUGAACUCCCUAACUCACUCUAUCUUCCUUUUAUUGGCUUUAAUAAUAUACGUAAAAAUGGAUUAAACUAAUUAUUUCGGUGCCUAUUGAUCAUCUAACCAAAAUUUGCUGUUUUAGACUUGAUCAUCAUCACCUUUGCUUUUGGGGUGACUUUGAUGGGCAGAUGAGGCUUUUGCCCUAUAAUUAAGCUGCUCAAUCAGACGCAUAUAUACUCUAAUUGAUUAGAGAAUAUAGUGCAAUCAUAUUAGUAUAACAAACAACUUAGCUAUAUAUAUUUAUAUAUGGUCCUACAACCAUCAAGUUUUCAUCCUAGAUGAUUGUUGAGCAUCUAUGACUAGUUAAUUUCCUCUUGACAACAGAAAUUCAAUCACUUGAAAAGGCUGAAUUGGGAGAGAUUAAGCUUAAAGUGGAUGUUGCCUUCAUUACAAGUGGAAAAGAAAAGAACAGAAGCAAACCUUAAAGGAUAUAGCUAGCUACCCGUGUCAUGUGAAUAUGAAGGCAGUUCCAAAAAAGUGUGUAAACUUGUCCUAUGUGUAUGUAUAUAUUGUUAGAGAAGUUGAAUGAAUUUGGCAGUGUAGCUGAAUAAUUGUGAAUAUGUAGAGUUGAAAAAUGGAUGAAUCAGUUGCUACAGAAUGGCAGUUGUGGUUGCUAUAAUUAAAAAAGAGGUUGUCCGGAGAGAUAAGCAAGGUAGGCAGGCAAAAGCAAACCAAGUUUAAUGGGUUUGUGUGAAAUUAAUUUGGUCCAUUUUAUAAGGGAAUGGCUAGACACAUCAUGUGUAUGUUGUUUUGUUUGAGGAUAAGUCGUUCUCCUCUUCUGCAAUUGCAAAUGUAGGACAGUAAACACCACUAGAACUCUACCAAUAAUUUUGCUGCCCCAUUUUUCAUACAAAAAAACAAGCUUAGACUCAACAAGAUGCCUACCCUACACCAAAACUGUGCACUAAAAGGAAUCAUGGGUGUCAUUGUUGUAGAGAUGAGCAGGUCAAGUUAGGGAAACAUUCAUUCAUGAAAAUGUAAGAUUAGUUAGUGGCCUCUUCUUCAGCAAUUAAGAGGUGGUGUAUUUGAACUUGAGCCAUAUAUAUGUCACCACUUGGUCCAUGGUCCCAAUCUUAUGGGAACAAGAAACAACCACAUUGGAAAGUAAACAUGUGUUUUAUUUUAUUGUAGGACCUUAAUUUGACUCUCUUACUUCCUACGCCAACCCUUUUUCUGAAUUGUGAACCACUAAAUUAAUUCCUUAAAAAAAAUAGAUUAUUUACGUCGUCAUACUUUGGAUCUUUGGUUUAUUGGAUUAUUAGCUUUGUCUUGGUAAUCUAAAUUGGUAAAAGGUUCGGCUUAUUUGUAGAUAUCCCUAGUUUAUUCCUUUUUAGUUUUCUUAUGAAAUGACACUGCCAUGACAUAUCAAUCUCAUUUUUACUGUAAAUACAAAAGUAUUGCUUUUUUUUUUACAAAAAAGAAAAGAUUAAAUAUGUUUCAAUUGAAUUACAAAAUUCCAUUACUUUAAAAUUGUAACACACUUUAAUAUUCCAUUACAGACAAAUAAGCCAUGUGAAAAUAAAAUAAAAUAAAAUUUUAAAAAUUAAAACGAUUAACUUAGAAAUAUUUUUAACUUUUUUUUAAAAAAAUUUUUGACCCUAUAAUUUAGAUAUCUAGAAAUCAUUUCGGGGGAAAUGUGAACGAUGUUUUUUGAUACAUAAUUUAAAAAUAUUAUAUGUGUUCUAUAUGUGAAAGGUAAACUAAAAAAAACUAAAAAUAUUUUUAAAUUAUACAAACAAAUCGAAUAUAUGUUAAAGGUAUAGAAUAAUCGUAUGAUAUAUAUGCUUGUGUUAAAGUUUAUAAACUAAAAUUUUCAAAAAAAAAAAUUUAUUUAUCAUGUGUCAAGUCUUUAACCCAUAGGGAUUUUUUUAAAUACAUAAUUAUAUAGAUUAAUAGAUUAUUUGUAUGUGUCAAUUUAUGGAGUAUAAAUUUAAAGGUUAAAAUAUAUUCUUUGUACUUUUAGUUUUAAAAUUUAGAUUUUUUAUUAUUUGGAUUUGAAAAUUUAGACUCAUAAUUAAAUUUUUUUUAUUAAAUUUUGUAACGACUCAAUUUUCAGUAGUGUCAUAAAAUACUAUUUUGAGACUUCAUUUCCGUAAAUUAACUCUAUUAAUAUUAAAUAGAAGUAUUUACGGAGUUAGUGUAUAGAUGAAUUGAAAUUUGGUUAAGUAAUUUAACCGGAAUUGUGGUUAAUUAAGGCUUAGAAACUAAAUUGUAAAAGUUUAAUCGCUAUAAAUUUUUAAUUAGAAAAAAGGCUUGGAGACUUAGACAACAAUUUUCUAAAAGAUCUAAAUGGUAAAUAAACCAAAAGUUAACAUAUUGUAGUGGAUGAUAAUGUGAUAGGGAUUUAGUUUAAAAUAAUGAUGAAUUAAUUAAGAUUAAUUAAAAGUUAAUUAUAAUAUAAAUAGCAUGAUAGUGGGAUGAAAGAUUAAUAUAUCAUUUUCUUCCACUGUUCAAGCUUAGCUAGGAAAGAAAAACACCAUUGUCGGAAAAGAAGCAUUCGACCAUUCCAAAAAUUAAAGGUAACCAAGCUAUUUUUCAUGUAAUUUUUAAAAGUUUUUAUCGUGGGAGCUUGAUCUAGUUAGUCCAUGUACUAAUUUGUAAAAUUGUUAAAUUUUUUGAAAGUUGCCUUUGUAGAGAAUUGAAUGAAAUUUGUGCGAAAUUGAUAGAUUUUAAGCUUAAAUUACAAAAAUGACUAAGCUUUAUUGUAAGUUUCGUAUAUUAGGGACCAAACUGAAUAAAAUAUAAUUUUUUAUGAAAUUUUGGUAGAAAUAGAAAGUAGGAGAUCCAUAAUGAAUAUAUGUGAAAUCAUAUUUUAAUCCGAAACUAUAGAUUGAAAAUUAUGUUAGUCCUAGUUUAGGGACUAAAUUGAAUAGAUUAUAAAAUUUACAUGAAUUGAUAAUUGAUUGUGAAUUAGCUAGAAUUUAAUGGUGUUAUAUGUUUUAUGACUAUUUGUAACUAACGUUGACGAAGAAUCGUCAAGAGGAAAAGAAAAAGAGAAAGUUAUCAAAGAGUGAUGGGAGAUCACAAUUUGUACUUUUAUGAUUUGGAAUAAAAAUGUUUGAUUUGAUGUGCAUGUUUAUUGAUUAUUGAAUCAUUGAGUUGAGUCUAUUAUGAUAGUAUGAAAUGUUUUGACUGAAUUUGAUAUGAAACAUCGAGAUAUAGGACUAAAAUGAAUAAAAUGGGAAAUGAUAUGAAAUGCUUAAAUUAUGAUAUGUGUGAUAUGAAAAUCAUAUUGAAAUAUGACUUAUACUAUGAAAUAAGUGUGUUUGAUGAUGAAAUGGGGUUGUGAUUGUGAAUUUGAUUGAGAAAUGAUAUACGUAUGAAAAUGCAUAUGUGAUUAAAUACAGAGAAAGAAUAUGUGAGUAAGAUGAUUAUAGGUAUGGAAAUGCUUACGUAAUAGCCUAAAUUUUUUAAUGGUGUCAGAAACAAUAGUUUCGAGGCCACUAAAUACGGCGAGUAAGUUCGUAAAUAUUAUUAUUUAAUAUUUACGAGUUAAAUAUGGUUUUAAAAAGAUUUUUGAAUUGGUAGUUUAUAUUUUAUAAUGAUUUAUUAGGUUUGAGUGGUAAGACCCUAGGUCAAGUGGUUUUAGAAAAUGAGGUGUCAGGAUCUCGUUUUUAUAAACCGAGCCGUAAAUAUUUUUUUAUAAAUAUUUAUGGAGUGUCAUUCAUGUAACAGCCCGAUUUUGACCCUAGUCGAAACGGUGGUUUCGGGACCACGAAUCCGAGUUAGAAAAAUAUUUAAAAAUUAUUUUAUGUGUUUAAUAUGUGUGAAUUUGUGUGUGUGAAAUUUUCGUGAUUUAAUUUAGUCGUUUAGGUGCCCGAUUAAAUAAAAGGACUUAAUCGCGUAAAAUGUAAAAGUGGCUAGUUAAUUGUGUAAGUGCUUAUUUGAAUUUGUCUUUAUAAUAUGAAGCAUUUAAGAUAAAAUUUAACCAUAAUAUAUAGUGAUGAACGGUUGUGGACAACCAUUAUAAGGAUUAUAUAUUAAAUUAUAAAGGUUAUUUAAGUAAAAUGAUUAAAAUGUUAUUUAAUAUGUAUUAAUAAAACAUAAAAUAAAACCAAGUGUUCAUAUAUUCUUUGCAUGACCGAAAUUGAAGAAAAGAAAAAGAAAAUAAAAGGUUUAAGGGUUCGACACUUUAGAAGGUUGAUUAAGAUCAAGAAUCAAAGAAAUCGGAUUUGGAUCGGAGGAAAACUAAAAUCGUCGAUUAAUCAUCCCGUUCCGAUUACCGCUGUCCGAGGUAAGUUUAUAAGCAAAUAAACAUAGUUAUUUUUUUAAAUAAAAAUAAGUUACAUGUGUUGAAUUGAUAUAUUGGAGAAUGUAUAAAUGAUAGCCAAAUGUACACUUGGGAACUAUGUUUACGAUUCAAUUCGACGUCCACAAAGCCUCGUACGAACCUUAGGAAUAGCUAGGAUACAUAUGUCAUGACAUAGGAUUUCUGAUAUGUGCUCUCAUAUAAGACCACGUCUGGGACGUUGGCAUCGAUAUGUGAUUUCGAGGAAGACCAUGUCUGCGACAUCGGCAUCGUAAUUGUGAUUCGUGUAAGACCCUGUCUGGGACAGUGGAAUCGACAUGUGAUUACAUGUAAGACCACGUCUAGGACGUUGGCAUUGUACGAUAUGUGUUAUAAUCUGUGUAUCCUUUUUAAUUCUGAAUGGUUCAAUGGGCAAGGAUAAGUUACGAAUGAAUGUGGAAACAAUUAAAGUGAACAGGUAUGUGACAAUUUAUUACCUUUUUAGAAAUAAGGUAAGUUGAUUAUUUGAUAUGUGACACAAGUUAUAAAUGACGUUAAUGGUAGUGAUUGUGUAUAUGAAAAUCUAUAUGUGGAUUAAUGUAUAAGUAUGUGAUAUUAAUGUUUGAUUUUCGAGCUUAUAUUCGGCCUAAUGUUACAUGAGGAAUAAAUUGAAGUGUGAAAUUCAUAUUGAUAUUAAAGGAUUUUUAUGCAUUCGAUUAGUAGGUAUUUGAAAUGUGAACCUUGAAUGUGUAACACCCCUCGCCCGCAUCCGACGCCGGGACGGGGUUCAAGGUGCUACCUGACUUUUACUAACACUUUCAUACUAAACAGGGCCAUGAAAUCUCAAAUAGUUAAAAACUUUUCUUUUCACAUACAAUCUGUCCCAUAUACGGGCUUACGAGGCCCAAAACAUACAUCUGGAGUGGUUCGGGACCCAAUCGAGAACUCAUGAAAAACUUAAAAAAAAUCUCUUGCGUUAAGGCUUCAAACGCCCAUGUGCUCAGGCCGUGUGGCCAGAAAUAGGCUAAUUAUUAAGCCUUUUAUCACUCUCACACCAUAUGCAUAGAUACAUACUUAUCCAAUAACAUACAACGUGACAUAAAUGAGCUCUUAAACAUCUACAAACAUGUUAUGCUCAAGUUAUUUUCUUAUGCAAUAAAUAUUAUAGAAUUUGCCUAUAUCAUUACCACAUACUAGACAUAACUAUCAUUACAUCACAAACCAUUCAUGAAGCAUUAUUAACUAUUUACCAAUCACUUAAUCCUGCAUUAGUUACUAGCUCAUCAAUGAAUCUCAAUUCAAUCUCUAGGCAUACAUGUUGUAAGCCACAUCACAAGAAAUAAUAACAUAAAUGCAUAAGAAUAAUCAUAUGGGCCCAUAACGAUAUUAGCCGACAUAGGCCAAUUUACAUAACUAAUACUACCUUAAUAACAAGUCAAUGCCUUUGGCUAAAUCAUAAUAUUACAUACUCACAUUAAAACCCUAUACAUGCCAUAGACUCGAAUCACUUGAGUUUACUUACUCCGAUAACGUUAACUCGAUAGGGUGAUAAUAUCUCUGACGGCCUCCAACCCGAGCUAACCUGGAAACUCUAAAAAACAUGGGAAAGAAGGGGGGUAAGCUUUCGCUUAGUAAGUUCAUAUGAAAACAAUAAGCAACUCAUUAACUUGUUUUAUCAAUGUUUACAACAUAUUCUCAAGUUCACUACAAGUUGUCUUCCUGAGCAACAAUCACUAAAUUAUUUAUAUCUGGAGCUAGACUUAUUUUCCUUUCUUCCAUAAAAUUUCCAGAAUUUUUGGUUAAGCCAAAUAGUACAGUUUAUUAGUUAAAGUCUCCCCUGUUUCAGGGUAUGACCACUCUGACCCCUGUUCACUACAAACUGAAUUUAUCCCUGUAAAAAAUUCCAACGACCAUGCCGUUUAUUUCCCAUAAAAAUAGACUCAAUAAGGAAUCUAUGCAUGCAAGGUAUAACUCUUAAUAAUUUUUGUACAAUUUUUGGUGAAUUUCUAAAGUUAGAACAGGGGAUCUCGAAUUCAUUCAGACCCUAUUUCACAAGAAUUCAAAUAUCACACAAUAUGGAAUUCUUUUUCUUCUUCUGUUUCUUUCAUGUGAAAAUAUACUCAUUGAGCUUUAAUCCCAUAUUUUAUUCUGCCUCUAACUCAUUUUCCACUAUUUUUAGUGUAUUUUCAAAGUUACACUACUGCAGUAACUCAAAUCUGUCAAGGCUAAAUUACUCAUUCAUGAUCAUUGUUCACAAAAUUAAUACAACAUCGUUUGUAUAAUCAUCACCGAGACAUUCAUAUCAGAUUUUCAUUUACCAUCUUACCAUAUUGUUGUUAUGUCGAGUUUUCAACCCGAGGGUUAAGUACAUACCUGUUCAAAGUAUCCAUUUCACAACAUUUACCAAUACGUCCCUUUCAUCUCGAGUAUUCCUCCAUUUGAGUAGAAUUUUACCCGUUGAACACAUCGGAAUAUAAUUCGGAUACAUGGAAAGUUUGCACAUAAGUGCCACAUAUGUAGCCAAGCUACCAUGUAACCCGCCCAUAAGUGAACUCGGACUCAACUCAACGAGCUCGGGCGUUCGCAUCCAUAAGUGAACUCGGACUCAACUCAACGAGCUCGGAUGCCUAGUUACAUCUCACGAACUCAGACUCAACUCAACGAGUUCGAACAUUCGCAUCCAUAAGUGAACUCGGACUCAACUCAACGAGUUCGGAUGCUCAACCAUCCUAGUGACAUGUCACUUGUAUCCUAAUCUAUUCCUAAGGUUCAAACGGGAUUUUCCUCGAACACAUAUCCUUGCCAUCUUCCGUAAAAUACCGAAACCAAUACUCGGUAGCACUUUAUAUUUAACAGAUAAUACACAUAACUUGCAUUUUAUUCGAAAAUAACCACAAAGCAUAUAUUUCAUGAUAAAAAUCAGCAUAUCAUAUAUUUAACAUCAAUAACUUAAAAAUAACAAUUAUGCUACAUUAUUUACAUAUGAACUUACCUCAUACCACAAAGGUGAAAAGACAUACUCGUCCAUAAAUCGAUUUCUUUCCGUUCUAGGUCCAAAUCUCAAUUUUCAUCAUCUAUAACAUCACAUUUAGCCUACCAAUCAGUCACAAUAUUCAUAUGGAUCAAAAAAUCAUAUUUUUACAAAUUUUUAUUUUGACCCCUAAACUUUUGCAUAUUUGCACUUUUGCCUCAAUGCUCGUAAAUUAAUUUUAUCAUAUUUAUUUACUCCUUGAGUCUAUAUGAACUAUUUUCAUAACUAUAGCAACUCAUAAUUUCAACUAUUUUACAUAUUUACAACUCAUUUUACAACUUAGCAAUUUACCCCUUUUUAAAGGUAUUUUCAUGCAAUUUCUUUCACAAAAGUUGUUUAUUAGACAACUAGGACUCAUUAUCUUCCAUAAAAACACAGCAAACAACACAUUUACUCUCAUAGUAAAACCCUAGACUCUUCAUCAUUUUGCAAAAUAAUCCCCUCUUAUGAAAGCUUAUGCUUUAGGGGUUCCAAAAAUACAAAAAUCAUCAAGCAAAGACAUUAAAAUCACUUACAAGCAAGGGAAAUAUGUUGCUGAAAUUUUCCAGCUUCAAAACCCUUUCUUUGCUGCAUAUUUCGGUGAAGGGGAAGAAAAAAAUGAUAGCAUUUUCUUUUUCUUUUUUUUU